CCUACGGGAGGCAGCAGUGGGGAAUUUUGGACAAUGGGCGCAAGCCUGAUCCAGCAAUGCCGCGUGCAGGAUGAAGGCCUUCGGGUUGUAAACUGCUUUUGUACGGAGCGAAACGGUCUGCUUUAAUACAGUAGGCUAAUGACGGUACCGUAAGAAUAAGCACCGGCUAACUACGUGCCAGCAGCCGCGGUAAUACGUAGGGUGCGAGCGUUAAUCGGAAUUACUGGGCGUAAAGCGUGCGCAGGCGGUUAUAUAAGACAGAUGUGAAAUCCCCGGGCUCAACCUGGGACCUGCAUUUGUGACUGUAUAGCUAGAGUACGGUAGAGGGGGAUGGAAUUCCGCGUGUAGCAGUGAAAUGCGUAGAUAUGCGGAGGAACACCGAUGGCGAAGGCAAUCCCCUGGACCUGUACUGACGCUCAUGCACGAAAGCGUGGGGAGCAAACAGGAUUAGAUACCCUGGUAGUCCACGCCCUAAACGAUGUCAACUGGUUGUUGGGUCUUCACUGACUCAGUAACGAAGCUAACGCGUGAAGUUGACCGCCUGGGGAGUACGGCCGCAAGGUUGAACUUAAGGAAUUGACGGNUGAGAGNGCGAGACGACGACGAGGGAGGAGG
rnacentral:rRNA from 1 species